AUGCCUCUGUUAGUGUGGCAGAACUGGGCUCCUCCCGAAUGCAAUUUUUUUGCUUGGUUGGUCAUCAACAACAUAGUUUGGACGGCUGACAGGCUUCAGCGAAGGGGUUGGCCAAAUUGUAAUCUUUGUCCUCUUUGCAAGCAAACUCCGGAAUCGGCGGCACACCUUCUUUUCCAAUGCCGCUACACCAUCCGCGUGUAGGGAAUGAUUGAAUCUUGGCUCGGUUUACAAGACGUACACCCAGCGAACUGGGGUGGUUUGACUUCGGUCAAAGAGUGGUGGCGCGCCAAUGCUUCUGGGACCUCACGACCACGAAGGGCGCUGACUUCCAUCAUACUACUGAUUUCUUUGGAAAUAUGGAAAGAGCGAAAUGCACGUGUGUUCCGUAACAACGCAGUUCCAGUGGGUGUGCUUGUUGCUCGAAUCAAAGAGGAAGCCUUAUGGUGGUGCCGUGUCGAGGCAAAAUAUUUGUGUAAUGUAAUGCUGCGAGAGUGA
rnacentral:rRNA from 1 species